rnacentral:lncRNA from 1 species
GUGUACCGGCAAGGCUGCGGUUCGCGCGGCUUUGGGUGAGACCCGUGUGUGCGGCGUGGAGGUGCUCUGCGCGGUCUAACGACAGCGGGAUCGCCACGGCUAGACUUGGAGAACGGCCUUGAAUCUUACCCUGCUGCCUCCGCUUGCCGAGUCUGGGAUUACCAGCUGGCAACAUUUUCCCAUGAAAAGCUGCGAUGUGUACGCUACCUGUGGAAAACGGCUGGGUGGUGACAGAUAAACCCAGGUGCUUUGGUGAGCACCGGAAUUCAGGGACCGGCGAGAUACCACAGUUCUGGUGACCUGAAUUUGUGAUCCCUGGAAAACAGAACCAGCUGUGCAGUUUUAUCGUGCACGCGCUCAGUGGCACCCAGGACACGCAUAUGCGUGCUGCACAAUAUGAACAAUUUAAAAGAACCAGAAUAGGCAGGGCAUAUGGGGUGCACGCCGCUAAUCUCAGCACCCAGGAGCCAGAGGUAGAUGGAUCUCUAUCGAGUCCAGCGUGGUGCACAUAGUUCAAGGCUAGCCCGACACAUGAUGAGAUUGUCUCAACAGCUCUCUCCCCGACCCCAAGUAACAACAAAAAAUACCCACAAUUCACAAGUCUGGCCCUUUAUUCAUGUGUGCACUUUAUAAACUUCCGGGUAUUCUUGUAUGACGGACAGGGUUCGUUUUUUUGUGUUUUGUUUUUCGAGACAGGGUUUCUCUGUGUAGCCCUGGCUAUCCUGGAACUCACUUUGUAGAUCAGGCUGGCCUCGAACUCAGAAAUCCGCCUGCCUCUGCUUCCAGAGUGGACAGACAGGAUUCUAAUAACAUCCAAGCCCUGCUUGUCCUCAAGCACUACAGACCAAAGUUUCUCAAGGGGGUCGACACUCCGUUGGGGUUCAACGACCCUUUUACCAGUGGUCAUAUAUCAAAUAUUUACAUUAAGAUUCAAUAGCAAAAUUACAGUUUUGAAGUAGCAAUUUUUUUUUUCAGAGCUGAGGACUGAACCCAGAGCCUUGCGCUUGCUAGGCAAACGCUCUACAGCUGAGCUAAAUCCUCAACAACUAAAAUUAAUUCAUUUUAUGGUUGGGGAUCACCACAACGUAAGAGGCAUUAAAGGGCUACAGCAUUAGGAAGACUGAGAACCACUGUUAUAGACUAAUGUAAGAGAUGGACAGUUAUCACUGGGUUUGAGGGCACACUCAGCCCCUUGACAGGGCCUUGAGACUAGGAAUGGAUUCCCAAAGAUGCCUAAGUUGGAGAGUUUACUACUACCAUUGGAUAAGGGAAAGAGGCCAAUUGAAUGAUCAGUGACAAUGCUCGUUUUGAGUCAGGCUUUCACUGUACACCCGUGACUGCCCUUGAACUCAGAGAUCUGCCUAUGCUGGGAUUAAAUAUUUGCACGACCACACUGGUAAUACGUUUUAGAACUUCUUCUGAAGAACCAGUGAUUCGGGGACUUGGGAGACAGUUUAUCACAGUAGUUUGAAAAAUGAAAGUGAAACCGAUUCUCUUCUUUAUGUGAGUUCUGGGUAUCGAACUCAAUUCUUCAAGCUUGCAUCAAGAGGUAGCAAACACCAUAUGGACUGAACCAUCUCACAGGCCCUAAGAUAUUUCUAAAUGGAUCCAUUGUAAUGUAUGCUAAUUUUGAGGAGACAACGGAGUGUAGUGAAAGAAACUCUGGAUUCAAAUCUUGAGCACUGCACUGCGUUUGGACUUGGGGUCUGAGGUGAGCCUCAGAAGGCUGAAAUGCAAAAUACUCACGGAAAAAAGAAAAUAAAGUUGUGUGUCACCCCU